rnacentral:rRNA from 1 species
AGUCGAGGGGUAUUGGUUUUCGGACCAAGAGACCGGCGCACGGGUGCGUAACGCGUAUGCAAUCUACCUUUUACAGAGGGAUAGCCCAGAGAAAUUUGGAUUAAUACCUCAUAGUAUUAUUGAAUGGCAUCAUUUAAUAAUUAAAGUCACAACGGUAAAAGAUGAGCAUGCGUCCCAUUAGCUUGUUGGUAAGGUAACGGCUUACCAAGGCAACGAUGGGUAGGGGUCCUGAGAGGGAGAUCCCCCACACUGGUACUGAGGCACGGACCAGACUCCUACGGGAGGCAGCAGUGAGGAAUAUUGGUCAAUGGGCGCAAGCCUGAACCAGCCAUGCCGCGUGCAGGAUGACGGUCCUAUGGAUUGUAAACUGCUUUUGUACAGGAAGAAACAUCUCUACGUGUAGAGACUUGACGGUACUGUAAGAAUAAGGAUCGGCUAACUCCGUGCCAGCAGCCGCGGUAAUACGGAGGAUCCAAGCGUUAUCCGGAAUCAUUGGGUUUAAAGGGUCCGUAGGCGGUUUUGUAAGUCAGUGGUGAAAGCCCAUCGCUCAACGGUGGAACGGCCAUUGAUACUGCAAGACUUGAAUUAUUAGGAAGUAACUAGAAUAUGUAGUGUAGCGGUGAAAUGCUUANAGAUUACAUGGAAUACCAAUUGCGAAGGCAGGUUACUACUAAUUGAUUGACGCUGAUGGACGAAAGCGUGGGGAGCGAACAGGAUUAGAUACCCUGGUAGUCCACGCCGUAAACGAUGGAUACUAGCUGUUCGGAGCAAUCUGAGUGGCUAAGCGAAAGUGAUAAGUAUCC